rnacentral:lncRNA from 1 species
AUUUAUUUAGUCAUCUAUCAAGUCAUCCUCCCACCCCCCGAAUUAGGGCAUGUGGGUGAAGUCUUAGGAGCCUGCAACAUUUUUUUUUCCUUUUAAAGGGGCUAGGCACACUCAUACCAAGUUGCUCCUUGGCAUUUUAAGUGCUAUUAGCUUUAGAGUUAAGACAUGCUCUAAAUGAAGUACCAAUUACUAGUCACUGGUUCAAAAUUCAAAGGGGAAGAAGAAAGGAGUUGAGGGUGAAGUUAAUAAGUAGUCUUCUGCCCUACACUCUGAAUCUGCACCCUGAUUUGUCCCCAUUCAUCUCCUCAAACCCACCCCGCCUAUGAGGUCAUUUCUACUCUGGAAUCUGGGACAAAUCGAAGGUAUAAAGGAGUUUAACUAUUUGUAGCUGAGUUCUCAGGGAGACUGAACCUUGAAUCCAUGUUUCUCUGGUUUUACUCUGACCUUUUGUUUUAUUUCUAGAAAAUGCAAUUCUUGACUUGAGAUGAAUCAGUUCCCCAAUUUAUACUUCAUUCGUGGAAACUGGGUCUUGGGCAACAUCUCAGCAAUUCCUUCCAAUCUGAAGUUCUCUCAUCUGCUGGUAACCGGUCCAUUCCUAUUGGCGUUCAAGCAAUCACAAACACAUCCUACUUUUGAGAAAUGUUCCAAAGGAGGAGUCAAAGCGGCUGUAAUCUUGAUUCGGUUUUAUGGGCAAUAGAAUUAUUUUACUGAUUCCUGGAAUCAUGGCUCCUAUACAUCUGCACUCUAUGAGCACUUUGGAAAUUAAAGGAUUGCCAGCUUUUCCACUUUGGGACAAAAAACAUUUGUGCUAAACAGCCGGAAAAAGCAAAUGCCAGUGUUAAUCAAACCAGCAUGGAAGUUAAUUAGAACCUCAAGAACAAGCGGAUGGGCUUAGCACCUUGGACACAUCAAUAUCUUGUUUCUAAAGAUGACCUCAAAAGAUUGCAUAACAAUAAAGCCCAGCACAAGUCAGAA